rnacentral:rRNA from 1 species
GGACUACCCGGGUUUCUAAUCCCGUUCGCUCCCCUAGCUUUCGCGUUUCAGCGUCAGGUGCAGUCCAGGUGGCCGCUUUCGCCACUGGUGUUCCUCCGGAUCUCUACGCAUUUCACCACUACACCCGGAAUUCCACCACCCUCUACUGCCCUCGAGUGGCGCAGUAUCGGACAACCUCUCCCGGUUGAGCCGAGAGAUUUCAUGCCCGACUUGCCCCACCGCCUGAACGCGCUUUACGCCCAGUAAAUCCGGAUAACGCUCGGUACCUACGUUUUACCGCGGCGGCUGGCAC